UACACGCCCUAAAUCACAUUCUUCCUCUUUUUCCUCUUUGCAUUCAAUAACCCAGACGUUUCUCUUCUCCUUCCGAAUAAAAUGUAAUAAUUUUUGUCAUUCAAUGGACAGCCGUUUCUCUUCUCCUUUCUCUUUAGAUAGAUUAUGAUAUAGACUAUCAGAGACUCUAUUUUCCUCUCUCAAGCUGCAUAUUUAAUUAGGAUGUUCAAACCUUCCAAGCUCCAAUUCUACUCUCAUGGUUGCUUUUACUAGAGCUAUUUGUCGUCCAGGACCAGAUGGAAGUGUUGCCACCUGCACUUGACUCUACAUCAGAAUCACCCUGUAUUUUCGAUGGAGCAACAAGGUUAAACGAUAUUUUUUUCCUCUAUCUCACUCUCUUUGGGAUUUGGGGACAAGCAUUGUCGGAUUCUGAAUUUUUCCUUUUGCUCUUCAUUCUGGAAGGUUGUAUAUUUCUUAUGCUCAGCAUAUAUUGGUCAAGAAACUAUAUGUUUAGUGCAUGCUCUUUCUAUAAUUCUGUUUAGGAUUUAACCCCGUUGAGGUAGCAGAUAAUCUACCACUUAAAUAAUUUAUCAUUAUAUUUUUUAUUUUGGAUUCCAGAGGUGUAGGGACUGCAAGAAAAGAUCGAUAUGGUAUCAAUUGAUCUAAUAAAUAGGACAAUUUCUAAACACAAUACGGGUGUUCACGUAGCUUUUAGGUGUAAAUUAUACCAAUUACUCUCUGCCUUUUUUGGCUAAGACAUUCUGCGUAUCCAUCCAUGGGAUAAGUGAGUUUUUCUCUUUGGUGAUUCCACUCAUUACUUCAUGAGUUUCAUAUUCAUCCCAAUUUCUAUCUCUAUAAGAUUUGCCACCACUUAUUUGUUGAAAGGUCUACACAUUAAACAUCUUUUAGUUUGUCCAUAUUCGUUAGUUCCUAUUAUAAUUUAUGUGCAGGAUUGAACAUAUACAAAAGAAAGCACAUUAAAGAGUUGGAACCAACUCAUGGGUAAAGUAGGGUGCUUGCUAUCCUGGACCAGCUCUUUGAUAUGCCAAUUGAAGUCGGCGGUUAUGGAUCCUGUCAUCCUUCAAUGUGUACAUUCGAAGAAGGUUGGGAAGUUGCAGAGGUGCUUGAUCGAUAUAUAAAAAGACAAUGUGGUAAUUGGUUGGAUAUGGGUGGAUAAGAGUUUUGUUUAUAUGUCUAGAUUUAACUCAUCUUACGAUUUUUACAGAUUUGAGAGAUCCAGGAGCGGAAGAUGGUGUGCAAAUGGACUUCCUAUUUGUUAUUGUUUUAAUGUAGGUGUAUUUUGUGCCUUAAAAAUCAUAUGAAGUGUAUAGGCUAUACACUUUAGAACGUGCAUAAAUGAGCCUUCUGUAGUGCAAAGACUUUGAGAACUCUUGCUUAUGUUUGGAAUGUAUACAGCAGUUUCCAUUCUUCAAAGUAUCAGAAUAACUAUGACAA